AAUGAACGUUGGCGGCGUGGAUUAGGCAUGCAAGUCGAGCGGACGAGGGACUUCGGUCCUGAGUGAGCGGCGAAAGGGAGAGCAAUAUAUGGAUUAUCUGCCCUCAGGAUCGGGAUAGCUACGGGAAACUGUAGGUAAUACCGAAUAAUAUCUCCGGAUCAAAGGUGAGAUUCCGCCUGAGGAUGAGUUCAUAUCCUAUUAGCUUGUUGGUGGGGUAAUGGCCUACCAAGGCUAAGAUGGGUACCGGGCGUGAGAGCGUGACCCGGCUCACUGGGACUGAGACACUGCCCAGACACCUACGGGUGGCUGCAGUCGAGAAUCUUCGGCAAUGGACGAAAGUCUGACCGAGCGACGCCGCGUGUGUGACGAAGGCCAUUUGCGUUGUAAAGCACUAUCGUUUGGGAGGAAGUGUACGGGGGCUAUCCCCUGUACUUGACCUAUCUUAGGAAGAAGGACGGGCUAAGUUCGUGCCAGCAGCCGCGGUAAUAC
rnacentral:rRNA from 1 species